rnacentral:rRNA from 1 species
CGUUCGAGACGCCAGCCCGAACUGAACCGUCCCCAUCCUACGGAAGCAGCAGCAAGGAGUUUCGCAUGGCGAAGCUGACGAGCACGCCGCGUGAGGGAUGACGCCUCGGGGUGUAACCCUUUCUGGGACGAGCAGUGACGUACCGAGAGAGCCCGCUACUACGUGCAGCAGCGCGGUAUACGUAGGGCCGAGCGUGUCCGGAGUUACUGGGCGUAAAGCGCGCGCAGGCGGCUCGUCAAGCUGACGUGAAAGCCCCCGGCUCAACCGGGGAGGGUCGUCGGGGACUGGCGAGCUUGAGGUCGGCAGGGGUUGGUGGAAUUCCCGGUGUAGUGGUGAAAUGCGUAGAGAUCGGGAGGAACACCCGUGGCGAAGGCGGCCAACUGGGCCGAACCUGACGCUGAGGCGCGAAGGCGUGGGGAGCGAACGGGAUUAGAUACCCCGGUAGUCCACGCAGUAAACGAUGCAGACUAGGCGUGGGGGGACUUGACCCCCUCCGUGCCGGAGCCAACGCGUGAAGUCUGCCGCCUGGGGAGUACGGCCGCAAGGCUAAAACUCAAAGGAAUUGACGGGGGCCCGCACAAGCGGCGGAGCGUGCGGUUUAAUUCGACGCAACGCGUAGAACCUUACCAGGGC